rnacentral:rRNA from 1 species
GACGUAGGUGGCGAGCGUUAUCCGGAUUUACUGGGCGUAAAGCGUCUGUAGGUGGCCAAGUAAGUUGGGCGUGAAAUCUCCGGGCUUAACUCGGAGAGGCCGUCCAAUACUGCAUGGCUGGAGGAUAUUUGGGGAAAGCGGAAUUUCUGGUGUAGUAGUGAAAUGCGUAGAUAUCAGAAGGAACACCAGUGGCGAAGGCGGCUUUCUAAGAUAUUCCUGACACUGAGAGACGACAGCUAGGGGAGCAAACAGG